ACUGCCACCGCCCACGGCCUGUAAGUGUAACGUUAUUAAAACGCAGCGUCAUACCGCAUCACCUCCCUUUCUCCGGAUCGGAAACUAUCAACGCUCGGCAGUGCGCGAAUCCUCGCCAACUUAAUACGAAGGCUUUUAUUCUCUACGUUACAAGUUCCCCGAACAAAACUACUCUCUUCGAGCUACUGUCACCUCUCCCGGCUUUCCUUUCCAUCUCCAUCUCUCCUUCUCCUUCUUUCCACUUUCAUGCACCAAGAAACUCCACUUACUCGGUCAUGCCUCGCUCUCAGAUUGGGUACUUGGUCCCUGUAAAUAAGAAUCUUGAAGAGGACGCUUCACUCCCUAAGCUCCCGCUCUUUUACGGUCCCAAUUUCAUCGGCCGCAGCGACGUUUCUGUUCCCGACAAGAGACUCAGCCGCAAGCACAUUGCUUUAACCACCUCCCCUGACGGCUCCGCCCAUUUACUCGUCGAGGGAACGAAUGCGGUGGUUGUCAGGUCCGACCAGCUGAGAAAGAAGCUGAGUUCCCGCGAAAAUGCGGCGAUUAAUAAUGGUGAUAUUAUUGAGUUAAUCCCAGGUCAUCACUUUUUCAAAUAUGUAUCCUCUUCAACUGGUGAAAAGAAGAGAAGUUUUGGUGAAGCUAACAGCGAUGGAGAAAGCGAAAAACUUACUGCAAAGAGAAUUCGAAAUGAAGGUCCCGAAUAUAAACCAAAAUCAGCUAACAAGUUGAAGGAAGAGGAGGAAGGCAAUAUUGAAGGGAAGAUAUUUGUUGAGGCUAUUCGUGAUUUUUUUGUUUCCAAUGAUGAUUUACCGCAUACAUUUCGGCUUUUGAAAGUGCAAGGCUUGCCCACCUGGGCGAAUACUAAUUGUGUUUCUAUAGGGGAUGUGAUUCAGGGGGAUGUUCUUCUUGCUGUCCUCUCAAAUUACAUGGUAGAUAUUGAUUGGUUGCUUUCAGCUUGUCCAAAACUUGCAAAAAUCCCCAAUGUCUUGGUUAUUCAUGGUGACAGUGAUAGCAGGCUGGAGCUUAUGAAGAGAGACAAGCCUUCCAAUUGGAUUCUGCACAAGCCAGCAUUACCCAUUUCAUUUGGGACACACCAUUCGAAGGCAAUGCUGCUUGUCUAUCCUCAAGGAGUGAGAGUUAUUGUUCAUACAGCAAACUUGAUAUAUGUUGACUGGAACAAUAAAAGUCAAGGUUUAUGGAUGCAAGAUUUCCCUUGGAAAGAUCAAAGUAGCUCAAAGAAAGGAUGUGGAUUUGAAAAUGACUUGAUUGACUAUCUCAGCACAUUGAAGUGGCCUGAGUUCACUGCUAAUUUUCCAGCUUUGGGAAACUUCAACAUCAAUUCUACCUUCUUCAAGAAGUUUGAUUAUAGCAAUGCACGGGUCCGACUAAUUGCAUCUGUCCCUGGAUAUCAUACUGGUUCCAAUCUGAAAAAGUGGGGACAUAUGAAGCUGCGUACUGUUCUCCAGGAGUGUGUUUUUAAUAAAGAGUUUCAGAAAUCUCCUCUAGUUUAUCAGUUCUCUUCCCUCGGUUCACUGGACGAGAAAUGGAUGGCUGAGCUAGCAUCCUCAAUGUCAUCAGGUUACUCAGAAGAUACAGCACCCCUUGGUUUGGGGGAGCCGUUAAUAAUAUGGCCCAGUGUGGAAGAUGUCAGAUGCUCUUUAGAGGGUUAUGCAGCUGGAAGUGCUGUUCCAAGUCCACUUAAGAAUGUGGAAAAAGGAUUCUUGAAGAAUUGCUGGGCAAAGUGGAAGGCAAGCCAUACUGGCCGCUGUCGUGCAAUGCCUCAUAUCAAGACAUACACACGAUACAAGGGCCAAAAACUGGCUUGGUUCUUGCUAACUUCAGCAAAUCUUAGCAAAGCUGCCUGGGGAGCACUUCAGAAGAACAAUUCUCAGUUGAUGAUCCGUUCUUAUGAGCUGGGUGUGCUAUUUCUACCAUCUCAUGUAAAGGAAGAGGGUGGUGAAUUUUCUUGUACGGGUAAUGGAGGUUCAUCAAAGGGUAGCAGUAAAUGUGGGUCAAUCAGAAAUUCUGAAGUAACAAAAACGAAGCUAGUUACUCUUGCUUGGCAAGGAAGCAAGACGUCUGAAGUAAUUCAAUUGCCUGUACCUUAUGAACUCCCUCCUAAGCCAUACUCCUCGGAAGACAUUCCGUGGUCUUGGGACCGAAGAUACAACAAGAAAGAUGUUUACGGUCAAGUUUGGCCUCGGCUAGUUUAACCGUGUGCUUUCAAAGAUUUCCUGAUUUCAUUAGAUUGCUUAUAUUGAAUCCUGUGUAGUCAUAAGGUGUGUCGACAGGAACAAUGGCUGGCUCAUUUUGGCCAAACUCUAAAACGUCUCAACCCCUUUUCUUCCUCGUGAGUUGUGCUCGAAGGUGACAUAACAGGGAUGGCAAACUUCUGAGGUGGUGACCAAUGACCAUGCAAUAAAUCGAAUUGGGCAUUCAUGUUUUCUGUUUCUGCUCCAUUUCCAUGGCAAUUUCUUGAUCGAUUGACCUUAACCUAUGACCCCCCAACGUGUGGAAAUAAAAAUGGAAAUAUGUGAUGUGAGAAAAACUUGGAAUAGAUACACAAUUUGAAACAUUUUUCACUGGUUAAAUCCCAAAAUUUACA